AGUAGUUUGACUCCGUGGCUCAGGACGAACGCUGGCGGCGUGCUUAACACAUGCAAGUCGAACGGUAAGGCCCUUCGGGGGUACACGAGUGGCGAACGGGUGAGUAACACGUGGGUGAUCUGCCCUGCACUUCGGGAUAAGCCGUGGGAAACUGGGUCUAAUACCGGAUAGGUCUCCUGGCUUCAUGGUUGGGGGUGUAAAGCUUUUGCGGUGUGGGAUGGGCCCGCGGCCUAUCAGCUUGUUGGUGGGGUAAUGGCCUACCAAGGCGACGACGGGUAGCCGGCCUGAGAGGGUGACCGGCCACACUGGGACUGAGAUACGGCCCAGACUCCUACGGGAGGCAGCAGUGGGGAAUAUUGCACAAUGGGCGCAAGCCUGAUGCAGCGACGCCGCGUGAGGGAUGACGGCCUUCGGGUUGUAAACCUCUUUCAAUAGGGACGAAGCGCAAGUGACGGUACCUAUAGAAGAAGGACCGGCCAACUACGUG
rnacentral:rRNA from 1 species